rnacentral:rRNA from 2 species
UUAAGUUAUUAAGGGCGCACGGUGGAUGCCUUGGCACUAGAAGCCGAUGAAGGACGUUACUAACGACGAUAUGCUUUGGGGAGCUGUAAGUAAGCUUUGAUCCAGAGAUUUCCGAAUGGGGAAACCCAGCAUGAGUUAUGUCAUGUUAUCGAUAUGUGAAUACAUAGCAUAUCAGAAGGCACACCCGGAGAACUGAAACAUCUUAGUACCCGGAGGAAGAGAAAGAAAAUUCGAUUCCCUUAGUAGCGGCGAGCGAAACGGGAAGAGCCCAAACCAACAAGCUUGCUUGUUGGGGUUGUAGGACACUCUAUACGGAGUUACAAAGGACGACAUUAGACGAAUCAUCUGGAAAGAUGAAUCAAAGAAGGUAAUAAUCCUGUAGUCGAAAAUGUUGUCUCUCUUGAGUGGAUCCUGAGUACGACGGAGCACGUGAAAUUCCGUCGGAAUCUGGGAGGACCAUCUCCUAAGGCUAAAUACUCUCUAGUGACCGAUAGUGAACCAGUACCGUGAGGGAAAGGUGAAAAGCACCCCGGAAGGGGAGUGAAAUAGAACCUGAAACCGUGUGCUUACAAGUAGUCAGAGCCCGUUAAUGGGUGAUGGCGUGCCUUUUGUAGAAUGAACCGGCGAGUUACGAUUUGAUGCAAGGUUAAGCAGUAAAUGUGGAGCCGUAGCGAAAGCGAGUCUGAAUAGGGCGUUUAGUAUUUGGUCGUAGACCCGAAACCAGGUGAUCUACCCUUGGUCAGGUUGAAGUUCAGGUAACACUGAAUGGAGGACCGAACCGACUUACGUUGAAAAGUGAGCGGAUGAACUGAGGGUAGCGGAGAAAUUCCAAUCGAACCUGGAGAUAGCUGGUUCUCUCCGAAAUAGCUUUAGGGCUAGCCUCAAGUGAUGAUUAUUGGAGGUAGAGCACUGUUUGGACGAGGGGCCCCUCUCGGGUUACCGAAUUCAGACAAACUCCGAAUGCCAAUUAAUUUAACUUGGGAGUCAGAACAUGGGUGAUAAGGUCCGUGUUCGAAAGGGAAACAGCCCAGACCACCAGCUAAGGUCCCAAAAUAUAUGUUAAGUGGAAAAGGAUGUGGCGUUGCCCAGACAACUAGGAUGUUGGCUUAGAAGCAGCCAUCAUUUAAAGAGUGCGUAAUAGCUCACUAGUCGAGUGACACUGCGCCGAAAAUGUACCGGGGCUAAACAUAUUACCGAAGCUGUGGAUUGUCCUUUGGACAAUGGUAGGAGAGCGUUCUAAGGGCGUUGAAGCAUGAUCGUAAGGACAUGUGGAGCGCUUAGAAGUGAGAAUGCCGGUGUGAGUAGCGAAAGACGGGUGAGAAUCCCGUCCACCGAUUGACUAAGGUUUCCAGAGGAAGGCUCGUCCGCUCUGGGUUAGUCGGGUCCUAAGCUGAGGCCGACAGGCGUAGGCGAUGGAUAACAGGUUGAUAUUCCUGUACCACCUAUAAUCGUUUUAAUCGAUGGGGGGACGCAGUAGGAUAGGCGAAGCGUGCGAUUGGAUUGCACGUCUAAGCAGUAAGGCUGAGUAUUAGGCAAAUCCGGUACUCGUUAAGGCUGAGCUGUGAUGGGGAGAAGACAUUGAGUCUUCGAGUCGUUGAUUUCACACUGCCGAGAAAAGCCUCUAGAUAGAAAAUAGGUGCCCGUACCGCAAACCGACACAGGUAGUCAAGAUGAGAAUUCUAAGGUGAGCGAGCGAACUCUCGUUAAGGAACUCGGCAAAAUGACCCCGUAACUUCGGGAGAAGGGGUGCUCUUUAGGGUUAACGCCCAGAAGAGCCGCAGUGAAUAGGCCCAAGCGACUGUUUAUCAAAAACACAGGUCUCUGCUAAACCGUAAGGUGAUGUAUAGGGGCUGACGCCUGCCCGGUGCUGGAAGGUUAAGAGGAGUGGUUAGCUUCUGCGAAGCUACGAAUCGAAGCCCCAGUAAACGGCGGCCGUAACUAUAACGGUCCUAAGGUAGCGAAAUUCCUUGUCGGGUAAGUUCCGACCCGCACGAAAGGCGUAACGAUUUGGGCACUGUCUCAACGAGAGACUCGGUGAAAUCAUAGUACCUGUGAAGAUGCAGGUUACCCGCGACAGGACGGAAAGACCCCGUGGAGCUUUACUGUAGCCUGAUAUUGAAAUUCGGCACAGCUUGUACAGGAUAGGUAGGAGCCUUUGAAACGUGAGCGCUAGCUUACGUGGAGGCGCUGGUGGGAUACUACCCUAGCUGUGUUGGCUUUCUAACCCGCACCACUUAUCGUGGUGGGAGACAGUGUCAGGCGGGCAGUUUGACUGGGGCGGUCGCCUCCUAAAAGGUAACGGAGGCGCUCAAAGGUUCCCUCAGAAUGGUUGGAAAUCAUUCAUAGAGUGUAAAGGCAUAAGGGAGCUUGACUGCGAGACCUACAAGUCGAGCAGGGUCGAAAGACGGACUUAGUGAUCCGGUGGUUCCGCAUGGAAGGGCCAUCGCUCAACGGAUAAAAGCUACCCCGGGGAUAACAGGCUUAUCUCCCCCAAGAGUUCACAUCGACGGGGAGGUUUGGCACCUCGAUGUCGGCUCAUCGCAUCCUGGGGCUGUAGUCGGUCCCAAGGGUUGGGCUGUUCGCCCAUUAAAGUGGUACGCGAGCUGGGUUCAGAACGUCGUGAGACAGUUCGGUCCCUAUCCGUCGUGGGCGUAGGAAAUUUGAGAGGAGCUGUCCUUAGUACGAGAGGACCGGGAUGGACAUACCUCUGGUGUACCAGUUGUCGUGCCAACGGCAUAGCUGGGUAGCUAUGUGUGGACGGGAUAAGUGCUGAAAGCAUCUAAGCAUGAAGCCCCCCUCAAGAUGAGAUUUCCCAACUUCGGUUAUAAGAUCCCUCAAAGAUGAUGAGGUUAAUAGGUUCGAGGUGGAAGCAUGGUGACAUGUGGAGCUGACGAAUACUAAUCGAUCGAAGACUUAAUCAA